rnacentral:rRNA from 1 species
AUUGAACGCUGGCGGCAUGCCUUACACAUGCAAGUCGAACGGCAGCACGGGUGCUUGCACCUGGUGGCGAGUGGCGAACGGGUGAGUAAUACAUCGGAACAUGUCCUGUAGUGGGGGAUAGCCCGGCGAAAGCCGGAUUAAUACCGCAUACGAUCUACGGAUGAAAGCGGGGGACCUUCGGGCCUCGCGCUAUAGGGUUGGCCGAUGGCUGAUUAGCUAGUUGGUGGGGUAAAGGCCUACCAAGGCGACGAUCAGUAGCUGGUCUGAGAGGACGACCAGCCACACUGGGACUGAGACACGGCCCAGACUCCUACGGGAGGCAGCAGUGGGGAAUUUUGGACAAUGGGCGAAAGCCUGAUCCAGCAAUGCCGCGUGUGUGAAGAAGGCCUUCGGGUUGUAAAGCACUUUUGUCCGGAAAGAAAUCCUUGGCUCUAAUACAGUCGGGGGAUGACGGUACCGGAAGAA